rnacentral:rRNA from 1 species
CUACGUGCCAGCAGCCGCGGUAAUACGGAAGGUCCAGGCGUUAUCCGGAUUUAUUGGGUUUAAAGGGAGCGUAGGCGGAUUAUUAAGUCAGUGGUGAAAGACGGUGGCUCAACCAUCGUUAGCCAUUGAAACUGGUAGUUUUGAGUGCAGACAGGGAUGCUGGAACUCGUGGUGUAGCGGUGAAAUGCUUAGAUAUCACGAUGAACUCCGAUCGCGAAGGCAGGUGUCCGGGCUGCAACUGACGCUGAGGCUCGAAAGUGUGGGUAUCAAACAGGAUUAGAUACCCUGGUAGUCCACACAGUAAACGAUGUAUACUCGCGGUUUGCGAUAGAUUGUAAGCCGCCAAGCGAAAGCAUUAAGUAUACCACCUGGGGAGUACGCCGGCAACGGUGAAACUCAAAGGAAUUGACGGGGGCCCGCACAAGCGGAGGAACAUGUGGUUUAAUUCGAUGAUACGCGAGGAACCUUACCCGGGCUUGAAC